CGCGGAGGAAAAGAAACUAACAAGGAUUCCCCUAGUAACUGCGAGUGAAGCGGGAAGAGCUCAAAUUUGAAAUCUCCUUCGGGCGAGUUGUAAACUGGAGAAGCGUUAUCAGACGCCGGCCGCACUAAAGUCUCCUGGAAUGGAGUGUCAUAGAGGGUGAGAAUCCCGUGCUUGGUGCGAUUGCGGCGUUGUAGAGGCGUUUUCUAUGAGUCGAGUUGUUUGGGAAUGCAGCUCAAAAUGGGUGGUAAACUCCAUCUAAAGCUAAAUACUGGCGAGAGACCGAUAGCGAACAAGUACCGUGAGGGAAAGAUGAAAAGGACUUUGGAAAGAGAGUUAAAGAGUACGUGAAAUUGCUGAAAGGGAAGCGCUUGGAGUGAGUCGCGCGGGCGGGAGUCAGCUCUGCGUACUUCCUGCCCGUGGGCCAGCAUCGACCUUGGACGGCGGAUAAGGGCGGUGGGAAUGUGGCAUCUCCGGAUGUGUUAUAGCCUGCUGUCGUACACGCCGACCGGGGUCGAGGACUGCUUAUAGGAUGCUGGCGUAAUGGCUCUAAGCGACCCGUCUUGA
rnacentral:rRNA from 1 species